rnacentral:rRNA from 1 species
UACGAAGGGGGCUAGCGUUGUUCGGAAUUACUGGGCGUAAAGCGCACGUAGGCGGCUUGGUAUGUCGGGUGUGAAAUCCCCGGGCUUAACCUGGGAACUGCAUCCGAGACUGCAUAGCUAGAGUAUGGGAGAGGGAAGUGGAAUUUCAGGUGUAGCGGUGAAAUGCGUAGAUAUCUGAAGGAACAUCAGUGGCGAAAGCGACUUCCUGGACCAAUACUGACGCUCAUGUGCGAAAGCGUGGGGAGCAAACAGG